AGCGAACGCUGGCGGCAGGCCUAACACAUGCAAGUCGAACGAACCUUUCGGGGUUAGUGGCGGACGGGUGAGUAACACGUGGGAACGUGCCUUUAGGUUCGGAAUACCUCAGGGAAACUUGUGCUAAUACCGAAUGUGCCCUUCGGGGGCAAGAUUUAUCGCCUUUAGAGCGGCCCGCGUCUGAUUAGCUAGUUGGUUGAGGUAAUGGCUCACCAAGGCGACGAUCAGUAGCUGGUCUGAGAGGAUGAUCAGCCACAUUGGGACUGAGACACGGCCCAAACUCCUACGGGAGGCAGCAGUGGGGAAUCUUGCGCAAUGGGCGAAAGCCUGACGCAGCCAUGCCGCGUGAAUGAUGAAGGUCUUAGGAUUGUAAAAUUCUUUCACCGGAGACGAUAUUGACGGUACCCGGAGAAGAAGCCCCGGCUAACUUCGUG
rnacentral:rRNA from 1 species